rnacentral:rRNA from 1 species
AGUUUGAUCAUGGCUCAGGAUGAACGCUAGCGGCAGGCCUAACACAUGCAAGUCGAGGGGUAACAGGGAGCUUGCUCCGCUGACGACCGGCGCACGGGUGCGCACCGCGUAUGGAACCUACCUUGUACAGGGGAAUAGCCCAGGGAAACUUGGAUUAAUGCCCCGUGGUACCAUGACCCGGCAUCGGGAUAUGGUUAAAGCCUUCGGGCGGUACAAGAUGGCCAUGCGUCCCAUUAGUUUGUUGGUAAGGUAACGGCUUACCAAGACUACGAUGGGUAGGGGCCCUGAGAGGGGGAUCCCCCACACUGGUACUGAGACACGGACCAGACUCCUACGGGAGGCAGCAGUGAGGAAUAUUGGACAAUGGAGGAGACUCUGAUCCAGCCAUGCCGCGUGCAGGAAGAAUGCCCUAUGGGUAGUAAACUGCUUUUAUACGGGAAGAAAAAGAGCUACGUGUAGCUUACUGACGGUACCGUAAGAAUAAGGACCGGCUAACUCCGUGCC